rnacentral:rRNA from 1 species
AACGAACGCUGGCGGCAUGCCUAACACAUGCAAGUCGAACGAGACCUUCGGGUCUAGUGGCGCACGGGUGCGUAACGCGUGGGAACCUGCCCUUAGGUUCGGAAUAACUCCCAGAAAGGGGUGCUAAUACCGGAUAAUGUCUUCGGACCAAAGAUUUAUCGCCUUUGGAUGGGCCCGCGUUGGAUUAGCUAGUUGGUAGGGUAAAAGACUACCAAGGCGACGAUCCAUAGCUGGUCUGAGAGGAUGAUCAGCCACACUGGGACUGAGACACGGCCGAGACUCCUACGGGAGGGGGGAGUGGGGAAUAUUGGACAGUGGGCGAAAGCCUGAUCCAGCAAUGCCGCGUGAGUGAUGAAGGCCUUAGGGUUGUAAAGCUCUUGUACCCGGGAUGAUAAUGACAGUACCGGGAGAAUAAGCUCCGGCUAACUCCGUG